rnacentral:rRNA from 1 species
UUGGUGUCCUUCGGGAACUGUGAGACAGGUGCUGCAUGGUCUGUCGUCAGCUCGUGUUGUGAAAUGUUGGGUUAAGUCCCGCAACGAACGCCAACCUCUUUAUCNCUUNUGUUGCCAGCGGUUAGGCCGGGAACUCAAAGGAGUACUGCCACGUUUUNGGGAAAUUUAAAAAACUUUUUGGGGGGAGGAAGGUGCGGGAUGACGUCAAGUCAUCAUGGCCCUUACGACCAGGCUACACACGUGCUACAAUGGCAUAUACAAGAGAGAAGCGACCUCGCGAGAGCAAGCGGACCUCAUAAAGUAUGUCGUAGUCCGGAUUGGAGUCUGCAACUCGACUCCAUGAAGUCGGAAUCGCUAGUAAUCGUAGAUCAGAAUGCUACGGUGAAUACGUUCCCGGGUCUUGUACA